rnacentral:rRNA from 1 species
ACACAUGCAAGUCGAGCGGUAGCACAGACCUCUUGCUCUCGGGUGACGAGCGGCGGACGGGUGAGUAAUGUCUGGGAAACUGCCUGAUGGAGGGGGAUAACUACUGGAAACGGUAGCUAAUACCGCAUAACGUCGCAAGACCAAAGUGGGGGACCUUCGGGCCUCAUGCCAUCAGAUGUGCCCAGAUGGGAUUAGCUAGUAGGUGGGGUAACGGCUCACCUAGGCGACGAUCCCUAGCUGGUCUGAGAGGAUGACCAGCCACACUGGAACUGAGACACGGUCCAGACUCCUACGGGAGGCAGCAGUGGGGAAUAUUGCACAAUGGGCGCAAGCCUGAUGCAGCCAUGCCGCGUGUGUGAAGAAGGCCUUCGGGUUGUAAAGCACUUUCAGCGGGGAGGAAGGCGUUAAGGUUAAUAACCUUGGCGAUUGACGUUACCCGCAGAAGAAGCACCGGCUAACUCCGUGCCAGCAGCCGCGGUAAUACGGAGGGUGCAAGCGUUAAUCGGAAUUACUGGGCGUAAAGCGCACGCAGGCGGUCUGUCAAGUCGGAUGUGAAAUCCCCGGGCUCAACCUGGGAACUGCAUUCGAAACUGGCAGGCUAGAGUCUUGUAGAGGGGGGUAGAAUUCCAGGUGUAGCGGUGAAAUGCGUAGAGAUCUGGAGGAUACCGGUGGCGAAGGCGGCCCCCUGGACAAAGACUGACGCUCAGGUGCGAAAGCGUGGGGAGCAAACAGGAUUAGAUACCCUGGUAGUCCACGCCGUAAACGAUGUCGAUUUGGAGGUUGUGCCCUUGAGGCGUGGCUUCCGGAGCUAACGCGUUAAAUCGACCGCCUGGGGAGUACGGCCGCAAGGUUAAAACUCAAAUGAAUUGACGGGGGCCCGCACAAGCGGUGGAGCAUGUGGUUUAAUUCGAUGCAACGCGAAGAACCUUACCUGGUCUUGACAUCCACAGAACUUUCCAGAGAUGGAUUGGUGCCUUCGGGAACUGUGAGACAGGUGCUGCAUGGCUGUCGUCAGCUCGUGUUGUGAAAUGUUGGGUUAAGUCCCGCAACGAGCGCAACCCUUAUCCUUUGUUGCCAGCGGUUCGGCCGGGAACUCAAAGGAGACUGCCAGUGAUAAACUGGAGGAAGGUGGGGAUGACGUCAAGUCAUCAUGGCCCUUACGACCAGGGCUACACACGUGCUACAAUGGCAUAUACAAAGAGAAGCGACCUCGCGAGAGCAAGCGGACCUCAUAAAGUAUGUCGUAGUCCGGAUUGGAGUCUGCAACUCGACUCCAUGAAGUCGGAAUCGCUAGUAAUCGUAGAUCAGAAUGCUACGGUGAAUACGUUCCCGGGCCUUGUACACACCGCCCGUCACACCAUGGGAGUGGGUUGCAAAAGAAGUAGGUAGCUUAACCUUCGGGAGGGCGCUUACCACUUUGUGAUUCAUGACUGGGGUGAA